rnacentral:rRNA from 1 species
AAACCGGCGCUAAUACCGCAUAAGCCUGAGAAGGGAAAGCAGCAAUGCGCUGAGAGAGGAGUCCGCGGCCGAUUAGCUAGUUGGUGAGGUAAAGGCUCACCAAGGCAAAGAUCGGUAGCCGGCCUGAGAGGGCACACGGCCACACUGGCACUGAAACACGGGCCAGACUCCUACGGGAGGCAGCAGUGGGGAAUCUUGCACAAUGGGGGAAACCCUGAUGCAGCGACGCCGCGUGAGCGAUGAAGCCCUUCGGGGUGUAAAGCUCUUUCGGCAGGGAAGAUAAUGACGGUACCUGCAGAAGCAGCUGCGGCUAACUACGUGCCAGCAGCCGCGGUAAUACGUAGGCAGCAAGCGUUGUUCGGAGUUACUGGGCGUAAAGGGUGUGUAGGCGGUUCUUUAAGUUUAGUGUGAAAUCUCCCGGCUCAACUGGGAGGGUGCGCCGAAUACUGAGGGACUAGAGUACGGGAGAGGAAAGUGGAA